rnacentral:rRNA from 1 species
CAGGCUUAACACAUGCAAGUCGAGGGGCAGCAUUUUAGUUUGCUUGCAAACUGAAGAUGGCGACCGGCGCACGGGUGAGUAACACGUAUCCAACCUGCCGAUAACUCCGGGAUAGCCUUUCGAAAGAAAGAUUAAUACCGGAUAGCAUACGAAUAUCGCAUGAUAUUUUUAUUAAAGAAUUUCGGUUAUCGAUGGGGAUGCGUUCCAUUAGUUUGUUGGCGGGGUAACGGCCCACCAAGACUACGAUGGAUAGGGGUUCUGAGAGGAAGGUCCCCCACAUUGGAACUGAGACACGGUCCAAACUCCUACGGGAGGCAGCAGUGAGGAAUAUUGGUCAAUGGGCGCGAGCCUGAACCAGCCAAGUAGCGUGAAGGAUGAAGGCUCUAUGGGUCGUAAACUUCUUUUAUAUGGGAAUAAAGUUUUCCACGUGUGGAAUUUUGUAUGUACCAUAUGAAUAAGGAUCGGCUAACUCCGUGCCAGCAGCCGCGGUAAUACGGAGGAUCCGAGCGUUAUCCGGAUUUAUUGGGUUUAAAGGGAGCGUAGGUGGAUUGUUAAGUCAGUUGUGAAAGUUUGCGGCUCAACCGUAAAAUUGCAGUUGAAACUGGCAGUCUUGAGUACAGUAGAGGUGGGCGGAAUUCGUGGUGUAGCGGUGAAAUGCUUAGAUAUCACGAAGAACUCCGAUUGCGAAGGCAGCUCACUAGACUGUCACUGACACUGAUGCUCGAAAGUGUGGGUAUCAAACAGGAUUAGAUACCCUGGUAGUCCACACAGUAAACGAUGAAUACUCGCUGUUUGCGAUAUACAGUAAGCGGCCAAGCGAAAGCAUUAAGUAUUCCACCUGGGGAGUACGCCGGCAACGGUGAAACUCAAAGGAAUUGACGGGGGCCCGCACAAGCGGAGGAACAUGUGGUUUAAUUCGAUGAUACGCGAGGAACCUUACCCGGGCUUAAAUUGCAACAGAAUAUAUUGGAAACAGUAUAGCCGUAAGGCUGUUGUGAAGGUGCUGCAUGGUUGUCGUCAGCUCGUGCCGUGAGGUGUCGGCUUAAGUGCCAUAACGAGCGCAACCCUUAUCUUUAGUUACUAACAGGUCAUGCUGAGGACUCUAGAGAGACUGCCGUCGUAAGAUGUGAGGAAGGUGGGGAUGACGUCAAAUCAGCACGGCCCUUACGUCCGGGGCUACACACGUGUUACAAUGGGGGGUACAGAAGGCGGCUACCUGGUGACAGGAUGCUAAUCCCAAAAACCUCUCUCAGUUCGGAUCGAAGUCUGCAACCCGACUUCGUGAAGCUGGAUUCGCUAGUAAUCGCGCAUCAGCCAUGGCGCGGUGAAUACGUUCCCGGGCCUUGUACACACCGCCCGUCAAGCCAUGAAAGCCGGGGGUACCUGAAGUACGUAACCGCAAGGAGCGUCCUAGGGUAAAACUGGUAAU